ensembl:rRNA predicted gene, 24741
GUAUACCACCGUAUCACUCUGAACACAUAGGACCUCAUCUGAUCUUAGAAGUUAAGUAGAGUCAGGCUUGGUUAGCAGUUAUGUGGGAGGAGUGCGAACCUGGGCU